CCUACGGUGGGCAGCAGUGAGGAAUAUUGGUCAAUGGACGAGAGUCUGAACCAGCCAAGUAGCGUGAAGGAUGACUGCCCUAUGGGUUGUAAACUUCUUUUAUAAAGGAAUAAAACGAGGCACGUGUGCCUUUUUGCAUGUACUUUAUGAAUAAGGAUCGGCUAACUCCGUGCCAGCAGCCGCGGUAAUACGGAGGAUCCUAGCGUUAUCCGGAUUUAUUGGGUUUAAAGGAAGCGUAGAUGGGUUGUUAAGUCAGUUGUGAAAGUUUGCGGCUCAACCGUAAAAUUGCAAUUGAUACUGGCAGUCUUGAGUACAGUUGAGGUAGGCGGAAUUCGUGGUGUAGCGGUGAAAUGCUGAGAUAUCACGAAGAACCCCGAUUGCGAAGGCAGCUUACUAAACUGUGACUGACAUUGAUGCUCGAAAGUGUGGGUAUCAAACAGGAUUAGAUACCCGGGUAGUC
rnacentral:rRNA from 1 species